CACGAGCAUACUCUCACACUCACACAGCUGCACAACCCUCAAGCAGUAGUGGCACGGCGGGCUGAGAUAACCAUGGGGUCGACGGGGGAGUACCAGCCUCUGCUGCUCGGACUUGACUCACAUUCCCAGAUACCUGGCUUGUCGUCCGCUGCCGUCGAAGAUUUUCUGGAGCACCGGCCUGUGGCCGCCCGAUGGUGGCCUAGACUGGUGGCAUGGGAGUCAAGGCUGCUCUGGAUUUUAUCUGGUUCAUCUAUCAUUGUCUCCAUAUUUAAUUUUAUGCUCAGCUUUGUCACCCUCAUGUUUUGUGGCCAUUUGAGUGCCUUGGAGCUGGCUGGAGCCUCUAUUGCUAAUGUGGGAAUUCAAGGUCUUGCUUAUGGGAUUAUGGUAAGUAUCCCAAACUAAUGUACCAGAUAAUUCAUUUACCAAAAUUUCAUCUUUAUGUUUGUUUUUCACUAUUUGUGGUUGAUUUAACUUUUUUUUUUCUUUCUUGCUUUUGAAUCAAAAGUUGGGAAUGGCUAGUGCUGUGCAAACUGUGUGUGGGCAAGCAUUUGGAGCCAGAAAAUUGCGAGAAAUGGGCAUCAUAUGCCAAAGAGCAAUCAUCUUGCACUUGGGAGCAGCAGUCCUCCUUACAUUUCUGUAUUGGUGGUCAGGUCCAAUACUUAGAGCCAUAGGCCAGGCAGAAGACAUAGCAUUGGAGGGCCAAGUGUUUGCAAGGGGCCUAAUUCCUCAACUUUAUGCAUUUGCAAUAAACUGCCCCCAACAGAGGUUCCUUCAAGCACAAAACAUUGUGAACCCUUUGGCCUAUAUGUCUUUUGGGGUUUUCCUCAUCCACAUUCUUCUCACUUGGUUGGUGGUUUAUGUUGUGGAAUAUGGCCUACUGGGGGCUGCUCUUACUCUCAGCCUCUCUUGGUGGCUUCUUGUCAUUACAUAUGGACUUUACAUUAUUCUAAGCCCCAAGUGCAAGGAAACUUGGACUGGCUUCUCUUGGAAUGCCUUCAAAGGAAUUUGGCCUUAUUUUAAGUUGACUCUUUCCUCUGCUGUCAUGCUCUGGUAACUGUCAAAUUUUAAUCCCUUUCUCCCCUUUUUUUUUUUUUUUAAUGCACAGCUCAUUUGCAAACACUUUUUUUUACCUUUUGCUAGUGGGAUAUAGCUCAAUUGGUUGAGCUCUUUCACCUCCACCCAUGUGUUUAGAAGUUCGAAAAUCUCAAACACCCAAUGAAUACUUGUGUAAACCCCCCUCCCCCAAUUGUUCGUACUCAAAAAAACACUUGUUUUUACCUUUCAAAUAACUCUUGGGUUUGCUCAUGCAUUAAUGUAGCUUGGAGAUAUGGUACAGCCAGGGGCUGGUGCUGAUAUCUGGGCUUCUCUCCAAUCCUACAGUUGCUCUAGACUCCAUUUCUAUUUGGUAUGUCUAGUGUUAAAGCAUUCCAUUUAAGCUUUUCCCUUUAUCAGUCAAUUUAUUUAACUCACAUUGUUCGUCUAACUUUACAUUUUCUGAUGUGAUAUAAUUCCAGCAUGAACUACUUGAACUGGGACUUGCAAUUUAUGUUAGGCCUAAGUGCAGGAGCCAGGUUUGUGACAAAUAAAAUGCACUUAAGAAUGUUUAUUUCUUAAUCGCGAAUUAGAAUUUACUUUAUUGAUAACGAGACGUCGGUUAUGCAGUGUUCGAGUCAGUAAUGAGCUAGGUGCUGGUAAUGCAAAGGUGGCCAAAUUUUCUGUGUUUGUUGUGAACGGGACCAGCAUACUGAUUAGCAUAGUCUUCAGUGCAAUUGUAUUGAUUUUUAAAGUUGGAUUAAGCAAGCUUUUUACGAGUGAUUCCGUAGUUAUCGCAGCAGUAUCUGAUUUAACCCCGUUGCUGGCCAUCUCUGUUUUCUUGAAUGGCAUUCAACCUAUACUCUCAGGUACUGAUGUGUGACAAAAGGAGUACAUGAACAAACCAGGUCUGCAGGCAUUGUGAGGCAUCAUUUCUAAUUUAACUCUCUGGAAUUUCAGGGGUGGCAAUUGGAAGUGGAUGGCAAGCUAUUGUGGCCUAUGUUAACCUGACUUGCUACUACGUUAUCGGUCUUCCGAUCGGAUGUGUUCUUGGCUUCAAAACCAACAUGGGAGUAGCAGUAAGUUCAAUCUCUCCUUACUCUUGUGCCAGUAAAGCUAUUUCUUUGUGAGUGAUAGAACAUGAUGCAUUCUUUUUAUCUCUUUCAGGGUAUUUGGUGGGGGAUGAUUAUUGGAGUUUUUCUACAAACAGUAACUCUAAUUAUUCUCACCGCCAGAACAAAUUGGGAUGCUGAGGUAAUUUAAAUUUUGAUUGAAGUAUUAUCUUGUCUUGGCAUAUAUAGUCAACAUGGACUGCAUUUUAUCAACGUAUCACUAAUCACCAUGCUUUUGUAGGUCCAAAAAGCAGCUGAUCGAUUGAAGAAAGCUGCAGAAAUACAAGACUCGCUGACCGAUGUAUAAGGCCAUGGAGGUUUUCAAAACUUGAUUUCACCUGCGGUUCACGUAUGAAUUCCUGUGUUUUGACAUAGCUUGGUCAACGAGAUUUAGACUAGAAGUUUUUAUCUUCUUCCCCUGUAUUGUAUACAACCAAUCAGAUUGUUGCCAACUUUGAUGAUAUAAGGGAAAGAAAACCAUCCUAUUUGUUUCACAGAAUCGAACAGUAAUAGUUUCAGCUUUGAUGAAUAUGUCACAUUCAGAACUAUACUACCUUGCUUUUGCUGAAAGAAAAUGAGUAACCUACACCAGACAUAGUUGAGAAGAAGCUGACACAGUUGAAUCUUGAAUCACAAAACUAUGAAUUCCAAAAAUUUAUAUAUGCUAAAGCUAAAAUUGCCCUCAUUUUACUGUUGUUUCUCGUUUUGAUUUGGUCUUUAUCUCAUCGGUUUUCCAUGGAACGCGCCAUCUCCUCCUUCUGCUCUUCACGUUCCCAAAUCCGAAUUCUGUACCGGCCUUUGCAGAUUCCGACGCCCUGAGUGAAAUCGGCGCCGACAACUGAGGUAUGCCUGCUAAAAGUCAGUUUCUGCGUUUUUUGUUUUGAUUCAUUUGGGCUGAAGUAUUGUAGGAUUAUCUCAGCCUUUGAUUGUUGCUUUUGAUUGGCCUGUAUGAUUUUGCUUUUGGAUUUGGAUUGUUUGGAGGAUUUUUGUCAUAUUUAAUAAUGAUGUUCCUGUUUAUGGAUCCCUUUGUAGGAAUGUGGUUUAUGAUUAAAAAAUUGGGGGUCCAAACAAGGAAUCGAUUUUUAAUACCUGAGCUUGAUCAACAACAAGAAAAUAUGUUAACCCUGAAAUUGGUUCAUAGACAGAAAUAGGCUCUCCAAGUUAACUAAAUUUCCAAUCCCAUUUGGGAGUCUUCCUACUAAUUUAUUGUCACUUACGUAGAACCGUGCAAGAGUGCUGUGCAUUCAGGUAAGAAACCCCCAAAAUUGUUCAUAUUAAUGCCUAGGUGUCAGAUAAAGCUCAAGUCAUUAAGUCUCCUACUUCCUGGAUUGUUGGAGGUAAGAGAAAAUCUCUCAAGCUUGUGCAAAUUUGCCAAAGAUGGGACUUUACCAUGUAGGCUGUUUCCUUGCAUUCCUAGAUGACCUCGACUUGAGGCAUUAGAUAUUGAUACUGGAAUAGUUCCACUAAAUUGGUUAGAAGCAGUAUCAAAAUACUGGAGACUUGGAGAAAAAAUACAUAAGUUUGAGGGAAAAGUACCUUGGAUUUCAUUUGGUUGCAGAGAAAAAUCUUAUGAGAGAAGACAGAUUGAAGAUGGAGGGUGGAAUCAUACCAGACAGAGAAUUGCCCGCGAAUCGAAUCUCUGUUAAUUCUGUCAGCUGGCUGAAAAUAUCUGGAAUGCUCCCAUUCAAAUAAUUAGAAGAUGCAGAAAGCACCUCAAGAGUCGAUAAGUUACAGGGCAAAUGUCCUGUAACAGGUUGUAAAUCUUAAGGAAGCACGGGAGUUCUCCAGUGACAAAAAGUUCACUUAUUUGUUCAAAGUAAUGUGCUAAUCUUUGUGCAUCAGAUCAGAUCACUAUUUCCUUCUAUCUCUAAUUUCCCUUUGUGGGGUUGGGGUGAGGGGCUUUGUGUUACUGCAUCUUCCUUGACUUUGUGACCAUGACCAGAUCACAGUGCAAAGGACUGAAUUGAACAGUCCACUUGGCCUUGAGCUUGAGGUUCAGUUACAUAUAUUUGUUUCACUGGUUUCUAUAAAUAUAUUGUAUAUUUAAAGCUUGGUGCUGAGACAUAAUCAUGUGGGAUAGACCUGCGUGCUCUUCUCCGCUCUAUGACAGGAUUGUAUGUCUGCCUGAAUGGAGGAGAUGCAUUUUCAAACACUCAGCAGGUUUGCUGUUGCCUUUACUUCAUUCUAAUACUAUUUUCUAGCUAAUCUCUUAUGAUUUCCUUUUCUUCUUCUCUGUCUUUCUGUCUCUCUGUCUCUCUCCCUCUAUACAUCUCAUGAAUUUUUUGCGCUCAGGCUGCCCUCUAUGGCCAACCAUGGUGUCGCGCAACCUAGGGAAAAGGAAGAGGGAGAGGAGACGAACCUGAUCCACGUGAUGGCGGGGCCUGAGGUGGCCGGUGCCGGCGACGGCCACGGUGGAAGUUUCAGCCGAAACUUCACGUCGUUCCAGCCCAAAAUCCUUGGGUUUUCAAGCUGCGAAAAUGACUAGGCUAGAAGGAGGACGUCGAGACGAAGAUUUUGGGACCGGUCUCGCCUGAAACGGUCGCUGGAGUUGGGAGAAUUCGCCUUCUAAAGCGGCUGGUCUGUUUGCGCGAAGAGAGAGAAAAGAGUCACUGCUGGAGGAGAGAGACAGCUGGGUAUUUAAAUUUUAACUUUGCAAAAAUUAUGAUUGCG
rnacentral:lncRNA from 1 species